rnacentral:lncRNA from 7 species
AUUGCCAUCAUUAACGGGCAACAUAAAAAAUAGAACAAUAUGCUACUAUCUCACAUAUAUUAUGAAAUGUUUCUACACACAUGGAGCAUUUCUUGCAGUAGAGCGCUAGGUAUGCUCGCUAUGCCUACGAUGAUUUAUAUGAGGAUGACUUAGAUAAGGAGGUGGAUCACAUGUCAGUUUCCAGCAAGGUGAGUGCCAUGUUCUGCAUAGUAUUCUGUGCAGUUAUUUGAUUGAUUCACAUUUUCAAAUGAUCGGUUGAAACUCUGUUAUGCUUGACUAGACUGAAUCUAGAUUGUUUACUAAAAUUGGGCAUGGGUUUUAAUUGUAGUGGUUUGUAGCUAUCUGUCAUUGUACACUGAUUCAAGUGACAACGAUUUCUUUUCUGUGGAUGCAUUUUAGUAGGAUUGGCCACCAAGGUCGUGGAGUAUAUGUUGCCCAAUUUUAAUGAGGUCUGGUGGGAUAUCAUUACCUUAGAUAUCUUGAUAUGCAAAUAGUUUGGUGAGACAUUUGAAGAUAAUUAAUGUUCAUGUCACAAACAUUCAGUUACCUUGUUUAUAUUAAUGUGAUGUGCAAUAAGUUAGAAUUAAGCAGCCGACAUGCCCUCCGCUUGCUUGAUUUUAUACAAUUUCUUUACAUCAGAUAUAUAUCUAUUAGUCAGAAAGGAAAUAAAAACUAAUACAUAUUUGACAUACUUCUGACAUCACAUUUUGUUUGACUAUACUAUUUAAUGUUAUGCCACUUGUCAAAUAUGCAUGGUCUUGGGAAUCCAAGAAGAAUUGUUGGCAUUUGUAAUAACAUUAUUUGGUAAUGAUAGUUCUAGGUUUUCUACUUAAACAACAAUUAUUUUUGAUGCAGGUGUUUGGACUGGAAUGCGCACAGUCUGUUACUUUGAUGGCAAAACGCAACGAAGUACCAUGGGUAAGGAUGUGCUGGAGAAUGAAAGCUUCUGUCUUAAAACAAUAGGAUACAAGAAGCUUGCAAGUGGUUUUGUGAAGGCUUUUGUGAAUCACUUGAAUCAUUAGUUCUUUUAAGAAUGGUUUUGUAAAGCGUUAGCAAAUAUGUGUAAAACACAAUAAGAUGUGUGGCAAAGUCAGUGAUCUAGUUGUACAGUUUUUUAUGUUUAUGUGAUAUGUGGAUAUUUCAUUGUGCAAUGUUAAUGAACUGUGUAUGUCUAUGUGAUUAUGUGUAUAAAAUAUAUGUUUUGUGGUGCUUUUGU